rnacentral:rRNA from 1 species
AUUGAACGCUGGCGGCAUGCUUUACACAUGCAAGUCGAACGGUAACAGGCCGCAAGGUGCUGACGAGUGGCGAACGGGUGAGUAAUGCAUCGGAACGUGCCCAGUCGUGGGGGAUAACGCAGCGAAAGCUGCGCUAAUACCGCAUACGAUCUCUGGAUGAAAGCGGGGGACCGAAAGGCCUCGCGCGAUUGGAGCGGCCGAUGUCGGAUUAGGUAGUUGGUGGGGUAAAGGCUCACCAAGCCAACGAUCUGUAGCUGGUCUGAGAGGACGACCAGCCACACUGGGACUGAGACACGGCCCAGACUCCUACGGGAGGCAGCAGUGGGGAAUUUUGGACAAUGGGCGCAAGCCUGAUCCAGCAAUGCCGCGUGCAGGAAGAAGGCCUUCGGGUUGUAAACUGCUUUUGUACGGAACGAAACGGUCCUGGUUAAUACCUGGGGCUAAUGACGGUACCGUAAGAAUAAGCACCGGCUAACUACGUGCCAGCAGCCGCCGUAAUAC